GCUGCAAUGUAUAUAAAGUCAAAGGAGGAAAAAUCUGAGUCAUACAAAGUGACAAGCUUUCAUCAGGUGGACUAACAGAGUAAGAACCUUUUUCAUUCAUUCAUUUCAAUUAGGUUGACAUGAAACUAGGAUUGCUGCUGUUUCUAGGAAUUGUGUUCCUGGUGCCCCACGACUCAGAGAGUCGGACUGUCUCUGAACAUGAGCUCAAAAAGUGGCUUAAGCUUAUGCUCCACCUGCCUCCAAGAUAUGGUACAAGAAUUGAAACAUGGUACAAGAACUGGAUCUUGUCCAAAGUUAUCUUUGAAGCAAAAAGGGGUUCCCAUCUGAACACCGGAAUGCUUAAGGUCUGUGGCAUACGAAAUACUGCACUUACCAACCAAACAACAAAGGCCCACGAUGACAACUACGACAAUCAAUCCAACUACGGCAUCUAUGAAAACUAUGACAACCAGGCCAACUCCAACAAUCAUGUCACAACUGAUAACCCGUCAACUGCCAACAAACGCAGACGUAAGCGGCAGUUCGAUCUUGAUGACGGGUCCGGCUCAGGGAUGAUGCCACUUGAAAACAUGAUACAUGAGGAAGAAAUCAAGUUUGAUGAGCAGGAGUUGAUUCAGGAUGACAAUUACAUAAAUGGAGAAGAGUAUGGUGGGGGAAAUAAUGGCAGGCAGAUGUCAACAACUUGGUCGGUUGGUUAUUAUGGGAUCUUCCAACUGUCUGACAGCCACUUCUGUGACUCAGGCUAUCGCUGGUCGAGAAAUAAGUGCAAAACAAGCUGCACAGCCUUUUUGGAUGAUGACAUAGAAGAUGACAUUUUUUGCCUUUUUCAAAGCGGGUUCUGGCAGUACCUGCUGGGCCAUCAUGUCACUCUGGGAUGUUGAGCAAGUCCCCUAACCCCACCUGCGACCCGGGCACUACACUGUGGCAGCUCACUGCUCCUCAGGCAGGGGUUAAAUGCAGAGAACACAUUUAAUGUAGCUAUACAUAUGUGACAAUGAAGGUGAUUAAUCACCCCUCUCUAUCCUUAUCCUUAUAUUGAGGAAUAGAAAAAGUAGAUUUAUGAUCAAAAUUAAAUUGUGAUUGUGUAUUUGACAACUGAAUAUUGUGCAUUUUCUGAUUUCUGUAGAAUUCAAUGACAACAUAUUUUGUCGUCAAUUAAUUGUAAAAGAUGACACCACAUGAUUAAUUUCACAUCAAAUUUCAAAUAAAAGAAACUUGAAAAAAAAAAACUGCA
rnacentral:lncRNA from 1 species